UACGUAGGGUGCAAGCGUUAAUCGGAAUUACUGGGCGUAAAGCGUGCGCAGGCGGUGAUGUAAGACAGGUGUGAAAUCCCCGGGCUUAACCUGGGAACUGCAUUUGUGACUGCAUCGCUUGAGUGCGGCAGAGGGGGAUGGAAUUCCGCGUGUAGCAGUGAAAUGCGUAGAUAUGCGGAGGAACACCGAUGGCGAAGGCAAUCCCCUGGGCCUGCACUGACGCUCAUGCACGAAAGCGUGGGGAGCAAACAGG
rnacentral:rRNA from 1 species